rnacentral:tRNA from 1 species
GGCCCGUUCGUCUAGAGGCCUAGGACGCCGCCUUCUCAAGGCAGUAACGCAGGUUCGAAUCCUGCACGGGCCACCA